AACGAACGCUGGCGGCAGGCCUAACACAUGCAAGUCGAACGCCCCGCAAGGGGAGUGGCAGACGGGUGAGUAACGCGUGGGAACAUACUCUUUCCUGCGGAAUAGCCCCGGGAAACUGGAAUUAAUACCGCAUACGCCCUACGGGGGAAAGAUUUAUCGGGGAAGGAUUGGCCCGCGUUGGAUUAGCUAGUUGGUGGGGUAAAGGCCUACCAAGGCGACGAUCCAUAGCUGGUCUGAGAGGAUGAUCAGCCACAUUGGGACUGAGACACGGCCCAGACUCCUACGGGAGGCAGCAGUGGGGAAUAUUGGACAAUGGGCGCAAGCCUGAUCCAGCCAUGCCGCGUGAGUGAUGAAGGCCUUAGGGUUGUAAAGCUCUUUCACCGAUGAAGAUAAUGACGGUAGUCGGAGAAGAAGCCCCGGCUAACUUCGUG
rnacentral:rRNA from 1 species